rfam:Marchantia polymorpha subsp. polymorpha scaffold4202, whole genome shotgun sequence.
GGCCCAGUAGCUCAAUGCAAGAGCAUUCCAACUUAUGGAUCUGUGAUGCAGCUUCAAGUCCUGCCUGGGCUC